AAGCUCGUAGUUGAAUUUCGGAAUUUGUCGGUUGGUCGGGCUUCACUGUCCGCACUGGCCUGAUGAAUUCCUACCUUCUGAAUAACCAGCAUGCUAUUAAUUUAGUGCGUUGGGGAAGCAGAGCUAUUACCUUGAAAAAAUUAGAGUGCUUAAAGCAGGCUCACGCUUGAAUAGAUUAGCAUGGAAUAAUAAAAUAGGACGGCUUGGUUCUAUUUUGUUGGUUUCUAGGAUCACCGUAAUGAUUAAUAGGAUAGUUGGG
rnacentral:rRNA from 1 species